UUCAGCAAAGCCACUGAACUUUCUGUCCAGACUGAGUCCCAGCCACAUGGCCUGGCUGCAGUGCUGGCUCACACAGCUGCUCUGGGAACAUCCCUCUGGAAAAGCCUGGCCUGCUGUUUUAACUUUACAGAGCUCAUCAAACAAAAUCCUGCCUUACAACCGGCAGAAAUCUUCCAAACUCUCUUUGAGAAAUUUCAAUUACGUAAUGGAAACAUCUCAGAAAUUCAGUGCCCAGGGAAGGGGAAGGUUAUGGAGGUGCUGUUUCUUCUGCACUAGUAAAAGUGCAAACCUAUUCACACCAACAUUAAAGCAGAAACAUUCAGAUUUUAAAGCACACUGAGGCCUUGGAAUUGCCUCCCUGUUUAUCUGUUCAGGCCCAGUAUUGGAAAAUUAUAUUUCCCUCUUCAAGUCUGUAGCAAUUUCAAUAAUAAAAAAGAGGUUAUAUAAGUGCAAAGAAUUAUGGAACAAUGUAAGUGGAAAGUACAUGAUUUUAAAAUUCAUUUGAAUAACUCAAAUACAGCUGAGCUGACAUUAUUCACACUUUCCAGUCUUAGUCAAUACUGGAUUGAAACCAAGCACAAGACAUUUCAGGCCCAAAGGAGGUUUUGAAGAAAAUUACAAGUACCUAUAUUUCCAGUUUACAGUGCCUGUCUGGGAAAGCUCCACUGCCUAAGGAAAGAGCAAGCUGCUUCUCCUGGGAUCAAACAGCAGAGAUGUAACUCACUGAGGGCAGCCUGGCUCUGGCUGUGAACUCGAGGGUGGCUGCAGAGAGCUCCUGGGGCAGCCAGCUGCAUGCAGAGAGCUCCUGGAUGCAGAGAGCUCCUGGCUGCAGAGCUGGGGGUCCCAGGGCUGCACAGGCACAGCCCAGUUCCCUCUGCAGGCUCAGCUCUAAGCUGGGCACACAGCAGCUCCAAGCUCUGCAUUCCCCCCACGCCCAGCGCUGGAGCUGAGCCUGCAGGAGGAAUGCAAGAGAGAAACGAGUUUCUUAUCGGCCUGGCAGAUCUCGCUGGGUGAUGUAGAUGCCUGUGGAGCUGCCAGGACUCCAGUGUGGGACAUGGCACUCAGCCUAGCUCCAGAGAUCCGAGGCUGCAAUCCAGGCUCUGGCAGGACACUUGGAACAAGAAACAACUGUGACUGGAAAUAUUUUGCAAAGCAUGUUGCAAGUGGAGCACUGCACAAACCCUGCUGCACCAUCACCAUUUCACACCUGACCUGCCAGGAGCACACAGGCCAAAACCUUCAAGUGUCUGCAACACUCAGCUGCCCCAGGAUGAGCAGCUGCCCCUCCCAGAAUCCCAGAAUCACCAAAGUUGGAAAUCCCUCCAGAACACCAAUCCAAGGUGGGACCUUGUCCCCACCCCCAGGAAUUCCCUGGACACCUCCAGGGAUGGACACUCCAAACCUCCCUGAGCACCCUUCCAGUGAAAAAUUUUUUCCCAAAACACUCAGCCCUUCAAGCUCUUGAGGACCAAUAGAUUUUGCAUUAUGGAAAUAAUGGAAGUAGAUUUUUGCUACUUCAUCAAGCAGAUCAGGGCUGGAUUCAUGGAAAGAACAUAUUGGAUGAGCAAUAAAAUGUCACUGACACUGUUACUGUCCCGAUAAUGGUUGCAUAUGUUCUCCAUAAAAUAGUUUUUAUUAUUUAAUUUGAAACAGCUAAAUUCACAUCUAGAGCAGUUACAUGUAAAUCUGUUUGCUAACUACACUUAGGGUAUUUCUGUAUUAAUGACAAGAUCAUCUCAGUGUUCUGAUCUUCUGAAUUACUGGUGAUUAAACGCCUUGUCUGUCUGAAAACCAAGUCUUUGCCCUAAAAAGUUGAACUGAAUAAAAACAAUAGUUUUCAGGCAUUCUAUCUUUGAAGACAUACUGGUUUCAAGCAGUCUGUCCUCAGGGAGAAUAAACUGGCAGCAGAAAUGGAAAAGUUGAAAAAAGUGGAUAAAACCUGGUAUUCCAUAAAUAUGUAUGUCCCUUUUGUGCUUCUGGAGGCAGCACCCGAGGAUGGGAACUGAAGCCAGGGCCCCGAGCACCUGUAGCCAUCAAAGGCUGGCUGAUGUCCUGUGCACAGCCCCUGUCUGUAAUUCUGGAUUGUCACCAGCCAGUCACCUUCCAAAAUCCAGCGCUGGCCAACAGCAGUCUGGACAAUUCAGCUCUGUCUGCUCCCUCUUUCUCAGCCUUUGGCUAAGAUCAACUGUGCAGAUUCAAAUAAUAUUAAACCUACUAUUUUACAGAAAUGAUCUCCUUCAAUCCCAGUCUUUCUAUUUAUUUCAUCCAAAUGGAACAAAUUAAUAACCCUUCUGGGACAGUUCCCCCUCCCUUGCUUUGUCUUGGGUAAGUUUCUACAGCCAGAAGCUCUGCCUUGUCCUGGUGCUCUGCAACCCCGCAUGGUCACUCCUCAGACCCCUGAGAGACACGAGGAUCACAGUGAGGAUCACAACUUUGCCCUCCCCACAGACUGAGCCUGGUUUCCCUUUCUAGCCAGGGUGGCUCCAGUCCAUUUCUCAGACUCCUUGUGAGGAUAUUGCACAGGAGCGUUUGUGAAGGAAUCAUUCGCUUGGCAGGGAGCAAAGUGGCACUGGUGGAUGUGCUGUUACAGGACCCCAGCUCCCUGCCUGCAUUGCUCCACAGGAUCCCAGGGCUGGGGAGAGCACUGCAGAGCAGCUGUGCAGCUGCUCCUUGUCCUGGCAGAAGGAAACCAUCCCAUCCUUCCCCUGUCCCCUGGGAAUCCAUUACAUAACCCCCUUCUGGCCUGCCCGUGCUGCUGACAGAAGCCCCUGCAGCCGCUGCCCGCCUCCAGCACAGAGCCCUGGCUGGGGAUGAGGACCUGGCAGCUCAGGGGAGCCCUUCCACUCCCCCAGAGCGUGUCCAGGCUCUGACUGAAGGAGAGUGCUGCCAGGUUAAUGUGCAGCUCACUUGUGCUGCAUCUCCCACGUUUCUCUGCAGACCUGGGGCAUACAGAGGCUGUGCCUGCCACUCCACAACAGCUCCAGCUCGUUUUGGCAGGGUCUGUGCAGCUUUUCCUGCACUGCUGCACGUGUGCUUGUGUCAGUCACUGUGAGGGAUUCAGAGCAGCAGCAGGGAAGGGAUGAACUGCAUGACACAGGAAUACAGCAGAGAGGAGCUGCUCCCUGCACACUCCUUCAGCCACAGCAUCCUUGGUGAGCCUCUCCAUCCAACAUGCAAUAUUCCCUCAGACACGUUCUGCACUGUUUACUACCCUUGCAAAUGAUCUUCCUCUGCUUUCCUUGUUUUUAAUUAAGGACUUUCCAAUAGGUGUAAUUCCCAUUUUGCAGCUGUGAAAACACAGGUAUGGACAGAUUAAGUCUUGAUCCCAACAACGGAAAUGACUGAAUCAGGAGUUUGAGUACUGGUGCUGGUUCAAUACUCAAGCAAUGGCUCCAGAAAUAUAUAACCUUAUUUUUCAAACUCUUUCAAGUUUCUUUGGUUGAUUAACAACUCUACUUCUAUAUGGCCCAACUUAUUUAAAACACUUUUUAAAAGGGGAAAUUAAACUCUGUCUGAAUCAAAAUGUAACUGGGCUGUGACCCAAAACCUCAACUUGUAUUUACACGAAUAAGCAAUAAAAAAAAAAAGAAGGCAAAUAAAAUGUAAUCUUUGCACAGACAAAGAGAGUUAACCAAAACACAACCAGCUCAUGCAGCAACACCUCCAAAAGGCAAACUCUACGGGAUGGC